rnacentral:sRNA from 1 species
GCAUCUCCGCGGCGGAACUCAGGGAAGGAGCUAGCUGGGGCGGGGGUGAUGAUCCAGGCUGGGUUCCAGCGUAGGGGUCUUGAUGGGCACGCUGGGGUCGGGUGGAGUGCUGGAGGGAGAGGAGGUGGGACAGGUGGGUACCUGGGCUGGAGGCAGGGCCUGAGGUGGCCAGGUGCAGGGGGCUGCACCUCUCGGCUGAAGCCGGGAAUGAGGACCCCGCUGUCGGGUGGGAUUGGAGGGGACUCGCGGCUGAGGCUCUGGGCUUCGACAGGGACAUCCCCUUUCUCCUCCCCAGGGAGAUGGUGCUUGUCGUGCACGGCUUCCCGUCCUCUGUGGCCGCCCUUCGGAAUGAAGAGGGGCCCUUGUGUUGUCCCCACCCUGGCUGCCUGCUAAGGGCCCACGUGAUCUGCCUGGCAGAGGAGUUUCUUCAGGAAGAACCAGGGCAGCUUCUGCCCCUAGAGGGCCAAUGCCCUUGCUGUGAGAAGUCACUGCUUUGGGGAGACCUGAUCUGGCUGUGCCAGAUGGACACUGAGAAAGAAGUAGAAGACUCAGAAUUCGAAGAGAAACAUGGAGCUGAUCCAGGACACCUCCCGCCCACCACUGGAGUAUGUGAAGGGGGUCCCGCUCAUCAAGUACUUUGCAGAGGCACUGGGGCCCCUGCAGAGCUUCCAAGCCCAGCCUGAUGACCUGCUCAUCAACACCUACCCCAAGUCCGGCACCACCUGGGUGAGCCAGAUACUGGACAUGAUCUACCAGGGCGGCGACCUAGAGAAGUGUAACCGGGCUCCCAUCUACAUACGGGUGCCCUUCCUUGAGGUCAAUGAUCCAGGGGAUCCCUCAGGUGGUCUAUGUUGCCCGAAACCCAAAGGACGUGGCGGUUUCCUACUACCAUUUCCACCGUAUGGAAAAGACGCACCCUGAGCCUGGGACCUGGGACAGCUUCCUGGAGAAGUUCAUGGCCGGAGAAGGUGGGUUUGAUGGGAGGAAGGAGGGUGUGGAGCCGAGCGGUGGUGGCUACAACGCACAGCAACCCUGUGUCGGUGCCCCUUGCCCGCUUCUCUAGUGUCCUACGGGUCCUGGUACCAGCACGUGCAGGAGUGGUGGGAGCUGAGCCGCACCCACCCUGUUCUCUACCUCUUCUAUGAAGACAUGAAGGAGAACCCCAAAAGGGAGAUUCAAAAGAUCCUGGAGUUUUUGGGGCACUCUCUGCCAGAGGAGACCGUGGACUUCAUGGUUCAGCACACGUCGUUCAAGGAGAUGAAGAAGAACCCUAUGACCAACUACACCACCGUCCCCCGGGAGUUCAUGGACCACAGCAUCUCCCCCUUCAUGAGGAAAGGCAUGGCUGGGGACUGGAAGACCACCUUCACCGUGGCGCAGAAUGAGCGCUUCGAUGCGGACUAUGCGGAGAAGAUGGCAGGCUGCAGCCUCAGCUUCCGCUCUGAGCUGUGAGAGGGGCUCCCGGGGUCACUCCAGAGGGAGUGUGCGAAUCAAGCCUGACCAAUGGGCUCAAGAAUAAAGUAUGAUUUUUGAGUCAGGCACAGUGGCUCAUGUCUGCAAUACCAGCGAUUUGGGAGGUUGAGCUGGUAGGAUCACAAUAGGCCACGAAUUUGAGACCAGCCUGGUAAAGUAGUGAGACCUCAUCUCUACAAAGAUGUAAAAAAAUUAGCCACAUGUGCUGGCACUUACCUGUAGUCCCAGCUACUUGGGAAGCAGAGGCUGGAGGAUCAUUUCAGCCCAGGAGGUUGUGGAUACAGUGAGUUAUGACAUGCCCAUUCACUACAGCCUGGAUGACAAGCAAGACCCUCCCUCCAAAGAAAAUAAAGCUCAAUUAAAAU